rnacentral:rRNA from 1 species
CCGCACAAGCGGUGGAGCAUGUGGUUUAAUUCGAUGCAACGCGAAGAACCUUACCUACUCUUGACAUCCAGAGAACUUUCCAGAGAUGGAUUGGUGCCUUCGGGAACUCUGAGACAGGUGCUGCAUGGCUGUCGUCAGCUCGUGUUGUGAAAUGUUGGGUUAAGUCCCGCAACG